rnacentral:rRNA from 1 species
UACGUAGGGGGCAAGUGUUGUCCGGAAUUAUUGGGCGUAAAGCGCGCGCAGGCGGUCUCUUAAGUCUGAUGUGAAAGCCCACGGCUCAACCGUGGAGGGUCAUUGGAAACUGGGAGACUUGAGUGUAGGAGAGGAAAGUGGAAUUCCACGUGUAGCGGUGAAAUGCGUAGAGAUGUGGAGGAACACCAGUGGCGAAGGCGACUUUCUGGCCUAUAACUGACGCUGAGGCGCGAAAGCGUGGGGAGCAAACAGG